rnacentral:rRNA from 1 species
GAAGAACCUUACCCAGGCUUGAACAGCGAGUGACCACGCCCGAAAGGGCGCUUCCGCAAGGACACUCGUAGAGGUGCUGCAUGGCUGUCGUCAGCUCGUGUCGUGAGAUGUUGGGUUAAGUCCCGCAACGAGCGCAACCCUUGUCCUCUGUUGCCAUCACGUUACGGUGGGCACUCUGAGGAGACUGCCGGUGAUAAACCGGAGGAAGGUGGGGAUGACGUCAAGUCAGCAUGGCCUUUAUGUCUGGGGCUACACACGUGCUACAAUGGCCGGUACAAAGCGUCGCAAACUCGCGAGGGGGAGCCAAUCCCAGAAAACCGGUCGUAGUCCGGAUCGCAGUCUGCAACUCGACUGCGUGAAGUCGGAAUCGCUAGUAAUCGCGAAUCAGCGAUGUCGCGGUGAAUACGUUCCCGGGUCUUGUACACACGC